UACAGAGACUGCAAGCGUUAUUCGGAUUCACUGGGCGUAAAGGGUGCGCAGGCGGCCGUGUGUGUCAGGUGUGAAAGCCCGGAGCUUAACUCCGGAAUUGCGCCUGAAACUACAUGGCUAGAGCAUUGGAGAGGGUAGCGGAAUUCACGGUGUAGCAGUGAAAUGCGUAGAUAUUAGGAAGAACACCAGUGGCGAAGGCGGCUCACUGGCCCGGUACUGACGCUCAUGUGCGAAAGCGUGGGGAGCAAACAGG
rnacentral:rRNA from 1 species